rnacentral:rRNA from 1 species
UACGUAGGGUGCGAGCGUUGCCCGGAUUUAUUGGGCGUAAAGGGCGCGUAGGCGGUCACGCACGUCCGUUGUGAAAUCGCUCGGCUCAACUGGGCGGGGUCAGCGGAUACGGCGUGGCUGGAGCAAGCUAGGGGGCAAUGGAAUUCCCGGUGUAGUGGUGGAAUGCGUAGAUAUCAGGAGGAACACCUAUUGCGAAGGCAGCUCGCUGGGACGUUACUGACGCUGAGACGCGAAAGCGUGGGGAGCAAACAGG